CCGGCAGCGGCGGCUGGAGGAGCAGCCGGCGGCGCAGCGGCCGCGCAGCCUUUGUCUCGGGGCCUCGGGGCGGCGGGGCCCGGCGCAGGCAGGCCACGCGGGGACGGAAGAGGCAGAGAGGACAGGCAGUGAUGGAGAAACGGGAGAGGAGCCGGCCGGCGUCACCAUCACCAUCACCGCCACCAUCGCCUCCACCAUCACCAUCACCAUCACCACCAUCACCAUCCCCAUCCUUGCCCGUCGCCCAUCCCAGCUGCCCCGGACCUCCCCUCCCUUCUCAUCUCCCCCCUGUCACGUCAACUUUACCAGAUUAUUUCCUUUUCCUGGGUGAUACUUUGAAACGGCGACAGCGUGCUCCAAAUUAGGAAUAAGUACCUCUGCUGUGGGACAUUCGGGCGCCUCUCCUUUGCCCGUUCGCGACCUCAGUUUUCCCAUCAGGAAAAGGACCACAGGGGUGCUCCGUUCCUCACAGUCAGCCUGUGAUGGCCGGCAAGCUUUCGGUUUUUCUAACCUGGUGCCGGAAAGGGUUUUAGAGAUUACAUUUUUUUCUCUCUCAUAUGGUGAGAGAGAUGUUCAUAUGGUAAAGUGGUAUUUUCACUGGGUUAAAUAACCCGGAGUUUUCAGUUCUCCUCUCCUUUGAUUAUUGAAUGGCAAAAUGCCAGUAGCAAAUAGAAGCUAAGGAAAAUGAAACUUCGACUAAAAUCAUACCAAGAAUAGAAGCAAAACAGGUAUGUCUGUAGGAAAAUCACCCCCAAGACGGCCGAACGCGAUGACUUUCGUCUCAAGUGCAGAAAGUGCCCUUUUCGUGGGUAGCGGUUGUAGAUGUCCUUAUUUGGGAUGCAUGUAGUGGGCCCUAAGUGCUUUGCACCCUACCGGAAGAAUGUUUAAAUUGCUGUGUUUCAAAGCUGGCACUCACCUGGUCCAAGGGACUGCUGAGCCGUGGGAGCAAAUAUCAACCCAGCCAGAGGGAUUGUUGGGAAGCCCAGCCCGACAGAGCACAGGGAUCUUCUUGUGAAAAGCACCUUACAGAACACAAGAUCCUAAACGCUCUGCAUUUUGGCCCACUAGGGCGAAAAAGGAGUCUUGACCUUUCCGUGUCUUACAUUCUGGUCCGAGAAAGGCAGCUAGACGGUCCUAAAUUGCUUGGUAUGCUUGGACAGUCAGCGUGGCAAGGUUCCUGUUAAACAGGGUGAUGAGCCACAUGUGUGGUUUGCCCUGGGUCCUCUCCUACUCGGAGAAAAAGAAAAGUGACCGUCUUAACAAUAAUGUGGACCCAACUGAGCAGUUUUCGUGGCCCGAGUUAAAAUACCUCAAAUGUUGAAAUAUAAUUGUACGCCAUUAACUUAAACCUGUCUAAUUGGGGGAAAUGGGGCUUUUUAGUAUAUGUGAUUCUGUGGAGAGUGACUUUGAAGUUAUCUGCCUUGCUAAAAAUACUUCAGGGCCUCAAACUUAAGUAAGGCGGAGUCGAUUGAAAGCAGUGACAUUUUUAGAACAAAGACUUAAAGAAUUCCUUCACCGUGUUUUUAGUUCUGGAUCUUUGGGAAAUAUUAGCAUCCUAAGGAACUUCGAUGCCUUGGGUUGUUGCUGAAUUCUGGUCUUACACCCACGUGAGCUGUUUUAACCCCUGUGAAUUUUGAUAUCCCCGUAUGCAUUAUACCACAAUUUUAAAAUAAUUCAUUUCUUUUAUUGCAGUCUGAUUUAUGUAUGUGCAAUGCAUCGCUCCUUACUGUACAGCUUGGUGAAUUUUUAUCUAUGUUUACCCUAUAUUACCUCUGACCUGAACAAAAUACAAAAAAUUUUCACCAUC